GACGAACGCUGGCGGCGUGCUUAACACAUGCAAGUCGAACGGAAAGGCCCCUUUGGGGGUACUCGAGUGGCGAACGGGUGAGUAACACGUGAGUAACCUGCCCUUGCCUUCGGGAUAACUUCAGGAAACUGGGGCUAAUACCGGAUAGGAAUCCUUGCUGCAUGGUGGGGGUUGGAAAGCUUCGGGGGUUUUGGCUGGACUCGCGGCUUAUCAGCUUGUUGGUGGGGUAGUGGCUUACCAAGGCUUUGUCGGGUAGCCGGCCUGAGAGGGCGACCGGCCACAUUGGGACUGAGAUACGGCCCAGACUCCUACGGGAGGGAGCAGUGGGGAAUAUUGCACGAUGGGCGGAAGCCUGAUGCAGCAACGCCGCGUGCGGGAUGACGGCCUUCGGGUUGUAAACCGCUUUCAGCAGGGGCGAAGCUUGUGGUGACGGUACCUGCAGAAGAAGCACCGGCUAACUACGUG
rnacentral:rRNA from 1 species